rnacentral:rRNA from 1 species
GAUGAACGCUGGCGGCGUGCCUAAUACAUGCGAGUCGAGCGAGCAGACGAGGAGCUUGCUCCUCUGACGUUAGCGGCGGACGGGUGAGUAACACGUGGAUAACCUACCUAUAAGACUGGGAUAACUUCGGGAAACCGGAGCUAAUACCGGAUAAUAUAUUGAACCGCAUGGUUCAAUAGUGAAAGACGGUUUUGCUGUCACUUAUAGAUGGAUCCGCGCCGCAUUAGCUAGUUGGUAAGGUAACGGCUUACCAAGGCAACGAUGCGUAGCCGACCUGAGAGGGUGAUCGGCCACACUGGAACUGAGACACGGUCCAGACUCCUACGGGAGGCAGCAGUAGGGAAUCUUCCGCAAUGGGCGAAAGCCUGACGGAGCAACGCCGCGUGAGUGAUGAAGGUCUUCGGAUCGUAAAACUCUGUUAUUAGGGAAGAACAAAUGUGUAAGUAACUACGCACGUCUUGACGGUACCUAAUCAGAAAGCCACGGCUAACUACGUG